GGAAGGAGAAACCAUAAAAUUUAAAUUAAAAAAAAAAUCAUCUCUGAAGGCAGGGAAGUAUUCAGAAUGGAAACUAAUGAACAAAAGGGAGUCGGAGUACGGAUGAAACAACAUGGGCCAUGAUUUAGUAAUUAUUGAAGCUGGGGGAUGGGUACAUGGAGUUUCAUACUUUUGUCUCUACUUCUGUGUAUGUUUAAUACUUUUAGUAAUAAAAUUAUCUAAGAGGAAAAAGUCUUAAUCUAUUUACUAGAAAUAACGAACAAAUUACAGAAUUUACAGGGAAAAGGAAUGGUUCUAGGUGAGAAUAUGAUAAUGCAGCCUACAAUGCCAGACUGUGGGUAGUAACUCGACAAGGACACUAGCCAGGCAUUCAACAAAAUCUCUCCAAGGGAGCACUUAUUGAAUAAAAGAAAUUUAAGAGAAUUAUCAAGGAUUCACAAUGCAUGGGACAUAUUUGGAUCUUGAUUCAAACAAAUUGGUCAACAUUUAUGAGACAAUUUAGGAGAUACUUGAACACUGAUUUUACUUAUGUCAGAUAUGAUAGAACUGCAGUUAUGUUUUAAAAUAAAGGAAUUAAUUUUUAGAGAUAUUUUAAAUACUUGUUUGUAGGUGAAAUGGUGUGAUGGCUGGGAUCUGCUUCAAAAUUAUCUGAUUCAAAAUCCAGCCAUCCCACAGAGAGUGAGAAAGACACUAAAAACUCAUACAUUCGAAAGAAAUAAAACAAUAUUCUGAAGAAAAAUUAAGCCACAAAAUUGGCUUGUUUUUGGAAAGAGUAUCUCUAUGGAAAUGAGUAUCUUGACUGCUUCACGAGCACUUAUUUCACUUCCUAAAAUCCUGUUCAAAAUACAUUCUUGGUAAUUUAAACGACUGGCAUCCAUUUUCUCACUUAUUUUAUUUGCAUGUAUUUGUUGCAGUUAAGUAGCGUUACAUGUUCUUUCUUGGCUUAACUGCUUGGUGACACUGGCUAACUGGCUAGUCGAGUGUUAAUAAUUGAUCAGUCAUGAUAGGGUUCCUGCCGGGUGAAGGAACAACAUGUACAGAAGACACAGGGGAAAGUGUAAUGCCGAGACAGAAAGCACCUCAAAACACCUGCAGCCAGCGGGGAGAUCCACAAAAGGGGGAAGCAGAGUAAGAUCCUCCAAAGCCCUGAAGGCCUGACUGGGUAUUUUGGACUUUAUUUACUCUAAGGGAAGAUACUUAACUAUUUCAAAAUGGAAUGUAGUAUAGAGUUUUGCUUUUCAACAGACCAGUCUAGCUGCUCUCUAGAAAAUGAAUGAUGGAAACAGAUGCAUGGAGACGAGAUGGGAAGAAGUGAGACAUUUAGGAAGAACUGAUAGUAUGUACCCUGCAACAAAAACAUUGUGGUGGAAACUGAAGCAUGUGAAAGGAUUUGAGUGAUGUGCAGGAGAUAAAAUUUACCCAAUUUUAAGUCAUUCAUUAACCCAGAAAUAUCGUGCACUUACAAGAUGCAGGUACUCUGCUAAGUCCACAGAACAGUGGACUAGGAAAUCAAUAAACAAAC